CAGUAUUGCCCAGAGGCCUAGACUGGCAUCAGAUCCGCAUUGUGCUAGGAGCUGUUCAAACACAUACGCAGAUGAGGCCCUUAUGCAAAAAGAUUCCAGUCUAAGCAGAAUUAUUGCCCAGAGGCCUAGACUGGCAUCAGAUCCGCAUUGUGCUAGGAGCUGCUCAAACACAUACGCAGAUGAGGCCCUUAUGCAAAAAGAUUCCAGUCUAAGCAGAAUUUCACAACCUGGUCACUGUCCUCCAACGAGCACUGAAGGGAAUUGGAGCACACGGAUGAGUAAAGCAAGCAGGAUUAAGCUCCUAACGUGCAUUUUCCCUUCUGUCGAUGUGCCCAUUGUGUGUGGUCCGGUGUGAAGCAGAUUAUUGUGCCAGUCAGCUUUGUGUGCUUUCCACACCCUAAGGUAAUCUCCCACAAAAAUCCCUCUUUUGACCCAGCACUGAAGCAGUCAGGUGAGAGGCCCCAGCGAGGGGUAAGGAGAUGGGGGGGGAUGGGAAGGAUCAAACCACAGCAGAGAUGUGUAGUUAAUUAGCCAGUCAAAGGGCAGGUUGCCAGUGUUCUCCAGAGCCCACCCCUAUGGUAACUCCCGGCGCCCCACGUCCGUAACUCAGAGCUGGGCUGUGCAACCUGCCAACUCCCCUCGCUUUGUGCACAGAUAACACACACACACACACACUGGACGGUAUUUUCCCCCAUGCCGGGAGCCGUUCGCCCUUCACCACGGUCCCUCCAGGAGUGAGCUACUGUUGGGUACCUGACCCGUAGAGCCCCCAUGGGCUGUAGCAGUGUGUGACAGCAAUCACAGAGCCCAAACCUGACCUGGAGCCAGGGGAUCCUGGGAACUGGGGCUGAGGGGGAGAGUUAACAGCUGGGAAGGGAAGCGGGAAAAGACAAAGCCACACUGGAAUGAGUCCCUGGGCUGAAGCUAAUGGACACCCUAAAGCUAAAUCACAGAUAUGCUGCCGCAGGGGUAAACUGUACGGGGAGACUUUGGCAAACCCGUAAAGUGCCUGAAACCACUAUGGCUUAUUGCUAAAAGCAGCCAAGUCAGCAGGCUGUAAAUUGGCCAAGUCAGCAGGCUUAGCUUAACCAAG